UUCAAACACAAAACGAAAUCCAAAAAAAAAAAAAUCAAAAAAAAAAUAUUAUACGUUGUCAUUCUCCUGUGAAUGAUUUUCCUUUGUCGAUUCAUAUUCACUUCA
rnacentral:ribozyme from 1 species